rnacentral:rRNA from 1 species
UACAGGGGGGGCAAGCGUUGUUCGGAAUUACUGGGCGUAAAGGGCUUGUAGGUGGCCAACUAAGUCCGACGUGAAAUCCCUAGGCUUAACCUAGGAACUGCGUCGGAUACUGGAUGGCUUGAAUCCGGGAGAGGGAUGCGGAAUUCCAGGUGUAGUGGUGAAAUGCGUAGAUAUCUGGAGGAACACCGGUGGCGGAGGCGGCAUCCUGGACCGGUAUUGACACUGAAAAGCGAAAGCCAGGGGAGCAAACGGG